AUUGAACGCUGGCGGUAUGCUUAACACAUGCAAGUCGAACGGUAACAGGUCUAGCUUGCUAGAUGCUGACGAGUGGCGGACGGGUGAGUAACGCGUAGGAAUCUAGCCUAUAGUGGGGGACAACUUGGGGAAGCUCAAGCUAAUACCGCAUAAUCCCUAGGGGUAAAGCAGGGGACCGUAAGGCCUUGUGCUGUAGGAUGAGCCUGCGUCAGAUUAGCUUGUUGGUGGGGUAACGGCCUACCAAGGCGACGAUCUGUAGCUGGUCUGAGAGGAUGAUCAGCCACACUGGGACUGAGACACGGCCCAGACUCCUACGGGAGGCAGCAGUGGGGAAUAUUGGACAAUGGGCGAAAGCCUGAUCCAGCAAUACCGCGUGUGUGAAGAAGGCCUUCGGGUUGUAAAGCACUUUCAGAGGGGAAGAAGUCCUAAAUGUUAAUACCAUUUAGGAUUGACGUUACCUUCAGAAGAAGCACCGGCUAAUUCUGUGCCAGCCGCCGCAGUAACAC
rnacentral:rRNA from 1 species